rnacentral:rRNA from 1 species
GCUUGGGAAUCUGCCUAGUCGAGGGGGACAACAGUUGGAAACGACUGCUAAUACCGCAUACGACCUACGGGUGAAAGGGGGCCUCUUCUUGAAAGCUCUCGCGAUUAGAUGAGCCCAAGUGGGAUUAGCUUGUUGGUGAGGUAAAGGCUCACCAAGGCGACGAUCCCUAGCUGGUCUGAGAGGAUGAUCAGCCACACUGGAACUGAGACACGGUCCAGACUCCUACGGGAGGCAGCAGUGGGGAAUAUUGCACAAUGGGGGAAACCCUGAUGCAGCCAUACCGCGUGUAUGAAGAAGGCC